GACGAACGCUGGCGGCGUGCUUAACACAUGCAAGUCGAACGGAAAGGCCCUGCUUUUGUGGGGUGCUCGAGUGGCGAACGGGUGAGUAACCCGUGAGUAACCUGCCCUUGACUUUGGGAUAUCUCCAGUAAACUGGGGCCAAUACCGGAUAGGAGCUCCUGCUGCAUGGUGGGGGUUGGAAAGUUUCGGCGGUUGGGGAUGGACUCGCGGCUUAUCAGCUUGUUGGUGGGGUAGUGGCUUACCAAGGCUUUGACGGGUAGCCGGCCGGAGAGGGUGACCGGCCACAUUGGGACUGAGAUACGGCCCAGACUCCUACGGGAGGCAGCAGUAGGGAAUAUUGCACAAUAAGCGGAGGCCGGAUGCAGCAACGCCGCGGGCGGGAUGACGGCCGUCGGGUUGUAAACCGCUUUCGCCUGUGACGAAGCGUGAGUGACGGUAAUUGGUAAAGAAGCACCGGCUAACUACGUG
rnacentral:rRNA from 1 species